rnacentral:lncRNA from 10 species
GUGUCCAUGAUAGUGAAUCCAUUUUGGUUGUGUUGGAUUUGAGGUGGCAAAGAAAUAAGGAACUGGCAUGUGACUGCGGGAAAUUGGAGCUACAAGACAGGAGUUCAGGUGAAAAGAUAGGACUAGGGAGACAGUCAUAGAGAAAUGUGUUGUUGGCAUCGAUUUCCUAUGGUUGGGCAAUGGCUUCCGCCAUCUGGACCAGGUGACGUCAGCUAUCUGGAUUUCUGCCAGCAUUCCCCGGCCCAGGAAACAGACUUCCGGCUGUCUGGGCUCUGAGCCAUCUUCGGCCUCCUGGGGUUGGAUGCUGAAACUUGCAGUCACACAAGGACUUGAACCUAGAGCUUUUCUAAAGCCCGUACUCUUUCCAGUACCCUGAGCCAGGGGAGCCAGCGGGCAGAAAUGACGUGUGAGGUACCCUCUCUCUCUUCACUUCCAUGUGAUCUGUUACUCAUUUUGUCAAGACAUCCUGGGUCCCAGGGACCACUCUUAUUCCCAGGUGUGUGACCUCCUCCUACAGACUACAGUGGGAAAGACACCAUCUCCAGGUGCCAGGUGCUACACAAGAUACUGGCUAUAGCAGCGAACAGGACAGCCCGUCUCAUCCUCAUGGAGGUCACAGGACAAUGAGAAGAAAGACUUUUUUAUUUUUAUUUUUUUGAGACGGAGUUUUGCUCUUGUUGCCGAGGCUGGAGUGCAGUGGUGUGAUCUCGACUCACUGCAACCUCCGCCUCCCAAGUUCAAGCAAUUAUCCUGCCUCAGGCCUCUUGAGUAGCUGGGAUUACAGGCACCUGCCACCACUCCUGGCUAAUUUUUUGUAUUUUUAGUAGAGACAGGGGUUUCAUCAUGUUGGCCAGGCUGGUCUCGAACUCCUGACCUCAGGUGAUCCACCCACCUCGGCCUCCCAAAGUGCAGGGAUUACAGGCAUGAGCCAUCGAACCCGGCCCAAGAAGAAAGACAUUGAACAAGUAAUUACAGGGUAUUGGGUGUUAUGAAAGAAAAGCAUGGUACUGUAUAAUGAGGUCAUCUAAUUUAGUCUGGGGUGACAAGGAAUGCCUACUAAAGAAGGUAUCGUUUAAGACAUACCUGGGGAAUAGCGGUAGUGAAAAUAGAAGCUCCAGAAAUGCAGGGACCAUGGCUGACAUGUUUACCAUGCCAGUGUCUGGCAUGGAAGAGGCCCAAUUCCUUUGGUUGAAAGGAUGAAGUAAUCUAGCUGAAUAAAGGGUGUGUGCGUGCACGCAGGUGUGUUUGUAGUUAACCUUCCUUUAGCUCAGCUUAGGAAACAGCUUUUGUAAAACUGCGUAACUAGUAGUAGGUGAGAGAGGAAUACGAAUGAUAUACACACCAUUAAAGACAACUUACUAACAGCAUGAG